GACGAACGCUGGCGGCGUGCCUAAUACAUGCAAGUCGAACGGUCUUUUCUAUGGAAGCUUGCUUCCACUGGGAAGAUAGUGGCGGACGGGUGAGUAACACGUGGGUAACCUGCCCAUAAGAGGGGGAUAACAUCCGGAAACGGGUGCUAAUACCGCAUAGUUUUCUUGAUCGCAUGAUUGAGAAAGGAAGACGGCCUUUGUGCUGUCGCUUAUGGAUGGACCCGCGGCGUAUUAGUUAGUUGGUGAGGUAAUGGCCCACCAAGGCGACGAUCAGUAGCCGACUUGAGAGAGUGAUCGGCCACAUUGGGACUGAGACACGGCCCAAACUCCUACGGGAGCAGCAGU
rnacentral:rRNA from 1 species